GGGCGUGUGGCUUACAAACUGCUCCUGCCGGACAACACCAACAUCCACCCAGUCUUCCAUGUGAGCCAACUGAAAAAACAUGUGGGACCGAAAGCAGUUCCUUGUACUGAUUUGCCACUGGUACGCGCAGAUGGGAUGAUCCAGACCGAACCUGUCAUGGUCCUGGAAACACGUCAGGUACCACACAACAACUUGCCGGCGGUUCAAUGGCUUGUAUAG
rnacentral:rRNA from 1 species